rnacentral:rRNA from 1 species
AUUGAACGCUGGCGGCAGGCCUAACACAUGCAAGUCGAGCGGAUGAAGAGAGCUUGCUCUCUGAUUUAGCGGCGGACGGGUGAGUAAUGCCUAGGAAUCUGCCUGGUAGUGGGGGAUAACGUUCCGAAAGGAACGCUAAUACCGCAUACGUCCUACGGGAGAAAGCAGGGGACCUUCGGGCCUUGCGCUAUCAGAUGAGCCUAGGUCGGAUUAGCUAGUUGGUGAGGUAAUGGCUCACCAAGGCUACGAUCCGCAACUGGUCUGAGAGGAUGAUCAGUCACACUGGAACUGAGACACGGUCCAGACUCCUACGGGAGGCAGCAGUGGGGAAUAUUGGACAAUGGGCGAAAGCCUGAUCCAGCCAUGCCGCGUGUGUGAAGAAGGUCUUCGGAUUGUAAAGCACUUUAAGUUGGGAGGAAGGGCAGUAAGUUAAUACCUUGCUGUUUUGACGUUACCGACAGAAUAAGCACCGGCUAACUUCGUGCCAGCCGCCGCAGUAAGAC